rnacentral:lncRNA from 1 species
CAGGGAGAAGGUAGGCCUAAAGUAGUGGCCCAGAGGGCAGAGAAGGUAGGCCUAAAGUAGUGGCCCAGGGAGAAGGUAGGCCUAAAGUAGUGGCCCAGGGAGAAGGUAGGCCUAAAGUAGUGGCCCAGAGGGCAGAGAAGGUAGGCCUAAAGUAGUGGCCCAGGGAGAAGGUAGGCCUAAAGUAGUGGCCCAGAGGGCAGAGAAGGUAGGCCUAAAGUAGUGGCCCAGGGAGAAGGUAGGCCUAAAGUAGUGGCCCAGGGAGAAGGUAGGCCUAAAGUAGUGGCCCAGAGGACAGAGAAGGUAGGCCUAAAGUAGUGGCCCAGGGAGAAGGUAGGCCUAAAGUAGUGGCCCAGAGGGCAGAGAAGGUAGGCCUAAAGUAGUGGC